rnacentral:rRNA from 1 species
GGACUACCGGGGUUUCUAAUCCUGUUUGAUCCCCACGCUUUCGCGCCUCAGCGUCAAUGUCGGUCCAGUUGGCCGCCUUCGCCACGGGUAUUCUUCCCAAUCUCUACGAAUUUCACCUCUACACUGGGAAUUCUACCAACCUCUACCGAAUUCAAGUAAGACAGUCUUGAAUGCAAUUCCAGGGUUGAGCCCUGGGCUUUCACAUCCAACUUGUCGAACCGCCUACGCGCCCUUUACGCCCAGUAAUUCCGAACAACGCUAGCUCCCUUCGUAUUACCGCGGCUGCUGGCAC